UACGAAGGGGGCUAGCGUUGCUCGGAAUCACUGGGCGUAAAGCGCACGUAGGCGGCUUUUUAAGUUAGGGGUGAAAUCCUGGAGCUCAACUCCAGAACUGCCCUUGAUACUGAGAAGCUUGAGUCCGGGAGAGGUGAGUGGAACUGCGAGUGUAGAGGUGAAAUUCGUAGAUAUUCGCAAGAACACCAGUGGCGAAGGCGGCUCACUGGCCCGGUACUGACGCUGAGGUGCGAAAGCGUGGGGAGCAAACAGG
rnacentral:rRNA from 1 species